UAACGAUGUAGGGUGCUGUGGAGACACACAAAUGAAAUAAAAGGCGAGGUUUCUGCUUCCAAGGAAAUUAUAACUGAAUAAAGAAAAUGGAAAACAGACUUGGAGCAUCAACUGUGACUGGUGGGAGUACACAACUGCAGACACAGAAUUACAGGGCCAAGGAACACGUUAUCGCCCACACGUGAUCUCAAGUCAAAAAGCUCCGUGUGAGUGUUCUGUUGAGAACAAGUGAGAAGGUAGAAAAUAAACGGUCAAGUUGUCUGAGUGGGAUUCUCUGUUUUAGUCACGCCCCAUGACCCUUCAUUUCCUAUUUAUUUCAGUAGAAGCGCGUCUGGCUACCUGUAUGAUCUUGGGCAAAUCACCUGUGCAGGACUUACUCAUUUCAGAAACGUGGGUAAUUGUACCUGCAUGACAGAGCUGUUUGAUCAGAAACUGAAGUACCAUAAUCAUUACGGAGUGUAGGCGCUGGACGCAGACCAUGUGGUUUAGAGCCACGACUCCUCUUUCCCAGCUGUGUGACCUUGUUGGGUACUCAAUGCUCCCUGAGUAAUGGAGUAACACAAUACUAAAAAUAAAUGAUGAUAUGAACAAUAAAGUUUAUUUCAAAAGAGUACCAACUUUGCUUCUAGCCCGAUCUUGUCUACUGAAGGCCCCUGAAGAGACCGGCACAAUACGGACGGUGGAAGCCCCUGGAGGGAGGAGGGGUUGGUAGGCAGCACUCUCUGAGGAACUGCCUCUGAGUCAGGACUAAGUGGGCCCUGACCGGAGGCGGGGGGGCAUUAAAGCCAGCUAACCGCCCUGGACCACGGGGCUGUCUGAGGUCCCCCUCGCCCUCCACUCAGGAUGGGCUGUAACAUAAACAGUAC